CUACGGGCGGCAGCAGUGGGGAAUAUUGGGCAAUGGGCGCAAGCCUGACCCAGCAACGCCGCGUGAGGGAAGAAUGUCUUCGGAUUGUAAACCUCUGUCCUUGGGGACGAAAAAAAUGACGGUACCCAAGGAGGAAGCUCCGGCUAACUACGUGCCAGCAGCCGCGGUAAUACGUAGGGAGCAAGCGUUGUCCGGAAUUAUUGGGCGUAAAGGGUGCGUAGGCGGCGCUGUAAGUCAGAUGUGAAAUCCCCGGGCUUAACUCGGGAGUUGCAUUUGAAACUAAAGUGCUUGAGUAAAGAAGGGGUAAGUGGAAUUCCUAGUGUAGCGGUGGAAUGCGUAGAUAUUAGGAGGAACACCAGUGGCGAAGGCGACUUACUGGUCUUUUACUGACGCUGAGGCACGAAAGCGUGGGGAGCAAACAGGAUUAGAUACCCUGGUAGUC
rnacentral:rRNA from 1 species